rnacentral:rRNA from 1 species
AGAGUUUGAUCCUGGCUCAGAUUGAACGCUGGCGGAAUGCUUUACACAUGCAAGUCGAACGGUAGAGGGGGCAACCCCUUGAGAGUGGCGAACGGGUGAGUAAUAUAUCGGAACGUGCCCAGUCGUGGGGGAUAACGUAGCGAAAGUUACGCUAAUACCGCAUACGAUCUAAGGAUGAAAGCGGGGGAUCGCAAGACCUCGCGCGAUUGGAGCGGCCGAUAUCAGAUUAGGUAGUUGGUGGGGUAAAGGCUCACUAAGCCAACGAUCUGUAGCUGGUCUGAGAGGACGACCAGCCACACUGGAACUGAGACACGGUCCAGACUCCUACGGGAGGCAGCAGUGGGGAAUUUUGGACAAUGGACGCAAGUCUGAUCCAGCCAUUCCGCGUGCAGGAUGAAGGCCCUCGGGUUGUAAACUGCUUUUGUACGGAACGAAAAGGUUUGUCUUAAUACGAUGAGCUCAUGACGGUACCGUAAGAAUAAGCACCGGCUAACUACGUGCCAGCAGCCGCGGUAAUACGUAGGGUGCAAGCGUUAAUCGGAAUUACUGGGCGUAAAGCGUGCGCAGGCGGUUAUGUAAGACAGAGGUGAAAUCCCCGGGCUCAACCUGGGAACUGCCUUUGUGACUGCAUAGCUAGAGUACGGUAGAGGGGGAUGGAAUUCCGCGUGUAGCAGUGAAAUGCGUAGAUAUGCGGAGGA